rnacentral:lncRNA from 1 species
GCUAAUUCAACUACUCAGAAUAUAGAUCUUUGCAGGGACAUUUAAGAUCAUCCCACUAUAAUCUGGUUGAUUGGAUUUGCUGGUGCCAGGUAACUUCAGUGGUAUAAAGCAAAUAUUUCCCAAACACUGCCUUCCUGGAAGUAGUCAGAUUGUUUCCACUGUGCAAUGUGUAAAGUUUUCACUCUGGCCAAGAGCUUGAAGCCAAAUGGGGGUGUGCCAGAUGAGAACAGAGGAAAGGGAACAACUGUGGUGACUGCUGUUACAGCAGCGAACACUUCACCACAUCUGGGCCAGUGAGAUGAAGAAAGCAGAAACCCCCUGUAUUCCUCACAAAGACAGUUAUGUGUCUCUUAGAGAAAACCUUGUUAUUGGUUAAAAACGUUCCACACCUUAGGAACAUGUCAGCUUCAAAAAAUCACAGACACCUCUUAGCUAGUUUUUCAAGUC